GGAUUGCCCUAGUAACGGCGAGUGAAGCGGCAACAGCUCAAAUUUGAAAGCUGGCUCUCGGGCCCGCAUUGUAAUUUGCAGAGGAUGCUUCUGGCGACGCGCCUUCCGAGUUCCCUGGAACGGGACGCCAUAGAGGGUGAGAGCCCCGUCCGGUCGUGCGCCUAGCCUCUGUGAAGCUCCUUCGACGAGUCGAGUAGUUUGGGAAUGCUGCUCAAAAUGGGAGGUAUACGUCUUCUAAAGCUAAAUACCGGCCAGAGACCGAUAGCGCACAAGUAGAGUGAUCGAAAGAUGAAAAGCACUUUGAAAAGAGAGUUAAAAAGUACGUGAAAUUGUUGAAAGGGAAGCGCUCAUGACCAGACUUGGGCUGGCUCGAUCAUCCGGCGUUCUCGCCGGUGCACUCGGGCCGCUCAGGCCAGCAUCAGCUUUCGCCGGGGGACAAAGGCGGCGGGAAUGUGGCUCCCUCGGGAGUGUUAUAGCCCGCCGUGUAAUACCCUGGUGAGGGCUGAGGUUCGCGCGUAUGCACGGAUGCUGGCGUAAUGGUCAUCAGCGACCCGUCUUGAAACACGGACCAAGGAGUCGUCUUCGUAUGCGAGUGUUCGGGUGUCAAACCCCUACGCGGAAUGAAAGUGAACGCUGGUGAGAGCUUCGGCGCAUCACCGACCGAUCCUGAUGUUCUCGGAUGGAUUUGAGUAAGAGCAUACGGGGCCGGACCCGAAAGAAGGUGAACUAUGCCUGUAUAGGGUGAAGCCAGAGGAAACUCUGGUGGAGGCUCGCAGCGGUUCUGACGUGCAAAUCGAUCGUCAAAUAUGGGCAUGGGGGCGAAAGACUAAUCGAACCUUCUAGUAGCUGGUUUCCGCCGAAGUUUCCCUCAGGAUAGCAGUGUUGAGCUCAGUUUUAUGAGGUAAAGCGAAUGAUUAGGGACCCGGGGGCGCUAUUUAGCCUUCAUCCAUUCUCAAACUUUAAAUAUGUAAGAAGCCCUUGUUACUUAGUUGAACGUGGGCAUUCGAAUGUAUCAACACUAGUGGGCCAUUUUUGGUA
rnacentral:rRNA from 1 species